rnacentral:sRNA from 22 species
UCAGACUGAGCAUUUGUUAAAAAAAUUUCGCAUGGUGAAUCCCCCUGUGUGGAGGGGCGACUGGUGAAAAAUCCUUGCUUGUGAUUCAUUAUCGACACGGGUUCGGUGGUACCAGGCCGAACUCACCGGGAGGCACCCGGCACCAUGCAAUGGCACAUAGCGCCACUCUCCAGCCCCUCUCCGGAGGGGCUUUCUUAUGGAC